rnacentral:lncRNA from 1 species
UGACAGAGAAACUUUGCUGUACAACAGAAGUUUUCUUAAUUCUGAAUCACACUCACAUUUUUAUUUGGUCUAUAGUGGAGAAAUUGGAGAUGAGUGUCUCUGCUGCUUUGUAUAAAUUAUCUUUGGUGAACGAAUUCUUGACGACUUGAUUUGGCUCGCUUUUUUCUACAUUCUCCCAAGUGGAUAUUUAUCGAAGUGGGGAUGCCGAAAUUUUUUCCGUUUCAUAUGGACUGUAUAUUUGUUCCACAAUAGUCCUCCCUUGAUAUUGCAUGCACAACGUUGCUGAACAGAAUUGUGGAGCAUAUCUCUUCUCGCUGCGGCCUUCUCCGUUUUUAAUCAAAUUGUGGCCGUGUUUGAUUUGAUGAUCUACAUCUAAAGAGAGUUAUUCUUGCACUAUUUUACUGUUUGUUUCUUUUAUUUCUGUUAUAUUGGAAUAGGAAUUCGUUUCCUCUCUAAGGAUUUCAUUGGGCACCAGAAUUCAUUAAUGGAACCAUCAUGUUCUGCAGACUGUAAGAUAAUCUCUAAGGAAUUCGAGUCAUAAACGUUUCUGUAGAAAACUUGUUUCAUUUUGUAGAGUGAACAGCGUGGUUUGGGAAAGUAUCUCCAUCCGGUAAUUGUGCUUUGAUCAUAGUUGAGUCCAAAAUAGUUGCAAUUGAUGGCAUUGUUCCAAACAUAAAUAUUCUGUUGGUUGUGUCCUAUGUCUCACUAUUUCUAGAUGUUUAAUCAGGGAUCUAUGUCAAAAAAAAUCUUCUAUUUGUAUAUAGAUACUUUAUUCUUUAUUGUUAUAUUUAAUCUGAAGAUCAUUGUGAUUCAUAUAGAUUUUGGAAUUCAAUAUAGUAAUGUGGUGUUUGAUAGUGUUGUUGAGUUCAUUUUGGAUUUUGUUUUGGAUUAGUCAAAAGUUCAUUAAGACUUGCAGCAAUCUUUGUGUAAUCUAAUCUAGAUGUUCAGUCUGCUCAAUAUUGGUAAACGGACUAGAACACCGGCUCUCUUUCAUCUCAACUGUUGAUCUACAACUACUUGGUAGUCUACAGACAAACCAAAGAUGAGUAGUAUCUCAACUAUAUACGUGUGAUUCUGCGUCACAAUCAGGUAUUUUUUAAUUCAUUUUUUUAUUCAUAUUUUUAAAGUUUCACCUCAUUCAUAUACUAACUUGAGCGUCGGACUGCUAACCUUUUUUGCAGGUACCCCUCUGACCCCAAAACGAAAGUCUUACCGCGGUAGUUGUCUUCGUCUUCAGCCUUACAUCGUUUCAGUAUGGAAUAGUUAUAAUUGAAUGUUCUAAAUCUUCUUCAUAAUAGUCUUUUGCAUGCAUGCUGAAGUUCUGAUGUUUUUUUUUGUUUUGUCAAUGGAGUGCUAGAUAAUGUUUCUUAGAUUGCUGAUUGUGUUUACUUGAUAGAUUUGAGUUGCGACAGGUUGAUAGUGUUUUCUUAAUGGAUUUGCAUUGCGUUCAGGUUGCCGAUCGCGUUUUCUUAAUGGAUUUGCGAUGCAUGCUUCAGAUUGUUGAAGCACACACAUGAAACUGACUUGACACAAGUUUUCAUUUGAUAAGUAAGAGAUAUGUUUAACCAUUAUGCAGCAAAGCCAGGAUUAGCUUCAUAUCUAAAACCUUAAGAACAGAGAACAGCUCCAGAUAGAUAAAUCAAACUUCUUCAAAUUGAAUUUCGAACAUGUUUUGCUGCAGCAGCUUGGUUUGUCAAAACAAUAACCUUCUUCAAAGCAUGCAUCAGCCUGGCUUUUUGAUUUGGUGAUAUCUAUAAAAUAAUUUUUGUUUUCAAUUCUGAGAGCGUAUUUUUCUUGAAGUUGUCUUUUGAUCUUGUAUAAGUUGUUGAAGUUUGUGUUUCUUCCGUGUUGAGGUUUUUGUGUUUCUAUUAUCAGGGACUUAGAUCUUUGGCUAAGUGCAAAUUAUGGAAUUAGAUACCAUCUUUGAAUCUUUGAUAUAGCCCAAGCACGUCUCAGUGUCGUGUGUCAGAUACUGACGCUUCCUACUAUGGCUGCACUUUAAUUUGGUCAUCACUACCAAGACUUUUACGCUUUAGUCUUUGUUUGAUUUGAUACACAACAUCUACUUUUGUCGGAUUCUUUGAGUUGUGUGAGUUUUGCAGGGAGAUGCAUUUAUCCCGUUUCGCAGAAAGCAUGGUGGAUAUCCAGAAUGCCUUGAUACAACAACCAGAACAGGAAAUAACUCUAGAUAGCUAAAUCAAUUUUUUAUGGGUCAUUCUUUACUAUUUUUAUUUCCGACCUUUGAUUGCAAGGCAUACAAAUUAAUUUCUGAAGUGUUUUGCUUCAGCGUGGUUGUUUCCAACUAAUAACCUUCUUCAGGGCAUGGAGCUUAGCAUUUCAAUUUUUGAUUUGGUGAUCUCCAUUAAAUUCUUUUUAUAUUGAUUCUAUUUUUUGGUUCUGAAACCAUAUCUUCUUUGAUUUGGUGUUUACUCUCUGGUGUUGCAGGAUAUUUAAUAUGUUAACAGACGAUUUCUUCUUGUUCUAUUUUCCUCUUGUUUGAUCUUCAUGGCUGUUGAUUUUUGCUUUCUUGAUUCUUAGGUUUGAUUUGGUUUUUGUUAGUUUUGACCUUGGAAGUUACUGUCUACUAUUAUUUUGUUAGGGUUUUAAAUGAUUGUUCUUUUGUGUAUACAUAUGGGUGACCUUGGAAGUCACUUUUUUCUACAUUCUCCCAAGUGGAUAUUUAUCGAAGUGGGGAUGCCGAAAUUUUUACCGUUUCAUAUGGACUGUGUAUAUUUGUUCCACAAUAGUCCUCCUUUAUUGCAUGCUUAACAUUGCUGAACAGAAUUGUGGAGCAUAUCUCUUCUCGCUACCUUCUCCGUUUUUAAGCAAAUUGUGGCCGUGUUUGAUUUGAUGAUCUACAUCUAAAGAGAGUUAUUCUUGCACUCUUUUACUGUUUGUUUCUUUUAUUUCUGAUAUAUUGGAAUAGGAAUUCGUUUCCUCUCUAAGGAUUUCAUCGGGCACCAGAAUUCAUUAUUAGAACCAUCAUGUUCUGCAGACUGUAAGAUAAUCUCUAAGGAAUUCGAGUCAUACAUUUCUGUAGGAAACUUGUUUCAUUUUGUAGAGUGAACAGCGUGGUUUGGGAAAGUAUCUCCAUCCGGUGUUUGGUAAGGUAAAUUAUGCUCAUAUUGAGAUCCAAAGUAUGCAAUUUGAUGGCAAUUGUUCCAAACAUAAAUAUUUUGUUGGUUGUGUCCUAUGUUCUCACUAUUUCUAGAUUAUAAUCAGAAGAUCUAUAUAGUAAUGUGGUGUUUGUUAGUGGAUAUAGUACACAUCUUUAAGCGCAAGAUAUAUUAUCAGAUGAUUGACAAAGCAGUUUUGGUAUAUAAUUAUCAGAUGAUAGCACCAUUAUCACGAUUAUUUUACAUUAAUAGCCCAUCAUACAACAAUAUAUAUAAUAUACAUCUUUACUUUUGGAGUAUGCCAUUCCUUUUUUUAUGAUGCUUAGUGGAUUAGUCAAAAGUUCAUUAAGACUUGCAGCAACAACAAUAUAUAUAAUAUACAUCUUUACUUUUGGAGUAUGCCAUUCCUUUUUUUAUGAUGCUUAGUGGAUUAGUCAAAAGUUCAUUAAGACUUG